CUGCUGCCUCCGCGGUUACCGGCAACGUGACGCGGCGGUGCUUGCGGAGCGGCGCCGCCUCGCCCGGCGCUUCCUCCCGCUGUCAAGCAUCUUUCUGAAAUCAGGGCUGAAGAGCCAGCAUGCCACUAGUGGGAGAAGAAAAGAGAGCAGCACGUGGAGUUGCACAGAGAAUGAAACUG